rnacentral:rRNA from 1 species
AGUGGACGCUGGCGGUAGGCCUAACACAUGCAAGUCGAACGGCAGCACAGUAAGAGCUUGCUCUUACGGGUGGCGAGUGGCGGACGGGUGAGGAAUACAUCGGAAUCUACUUUUUCGUGGGGGAUAACGUAGGGAAACUUACGCUAAUACCGCAUACGACCUACGGGUGAAAGCAGGGGAUCUUCGGACCUUGCGCGAUUGAAUGAGCCGAUGUCGGAUUAGCUAGUUGGCGGGGUAAAGGCCCACCAAGGCGACGAUCCGUAGCUGGUCUGGGAGGAUGAUCAGCCACACUGGAACUGAGACACGGUCCAGACUCCUACGGGAGGCAGCAGUGGGGAAUAUUGGGCAAUGGGCGCAAGCCUGAUCCAGCCAUACCGCGUGGGUGAAGAAGGCCUUCGGGUUGUAAAGCCCUUUUGUUGGGAAAGAAAAGCAGCAGGUUAAUACCCCGCUGUUCUGACGGUACCCAAAGAAUAAGCACCGGCUAACUUCGUG